rnacentral:rRNA from 1 species
AUUGAACGCUGGCGGCAUGCUUUACACAUGCAAGUCGAACGGCAGCGCGGGCUUCGGCCUGGCGGCGAGUGGCGAACGGGUGAGUAAUGCAUCGGAACGUGCCCAGUAGUGGGGGAUAGCCCGGCGAAAGCCGGAUUAAUACCGCAUACGACCUGAGGGUGAAAGCGGGGGACCGUAAGGCCUCGCGCUAUUGGAGCGGCCGAUGUCGGAUUAGCUAGUUGGUGGGGUAAAGGCUUACCAAGGCGACGAUCCGUAGCUGGUCUGAGAGGACGACCAGCCACACUGGGACUGAGACACGGCCCAGACUCCUACGGGAGGCAGCAGUGGGGAAUUUUGGACAAUGGGGGCAACCCUGAUCCAGCCAUGCCGCGUGCGGGAAGAAGGCCUUCGGGUUGUAAACCGCUUUUGUUCGGGAAGAAAUCCUCUGGGCUAAUACCCCGGGGGGAUGACGGUACCGGAAGAAUAAGCACCGGCUAACUACGUG